rnacentral:rRNA from 1 species
GAUGAACGCUGGCGGCGUGCCUAAUACAUGCAAGUCGAGCGAACAGACGAGGAGCUUGCUCCUCUGACGUUAGCGGCGGACGGGUGAGUAACACGUGGAUAACCUACCUAUAAGACUGGGAUAACUUCGGGAAACCGGAGCUAAUACCGGAUAAUAUAUUGAACCGCAUGGUUCAAUAGUGAAAGACGGUUUUGCUGUCACUUAUAGAUGGAUCCGCGCCGCAUUAGCUAGUUGGUAAGGUAACGGCUUACCAAGGCAACGAUGCGUAGCCGACCUGAGAGGGUGAUCGGCCACCCGGGAACUGAGACCCGGUCCAGCCUCCUAGGGGGGGCAGCAGUGGGGAAUCUUCCGCAAGGGGCGAAAGCCUGACGGAGCAACGCCGCGUGGGUGAUGAAGGUCUUCGGAUCGUAAAACUCUGUUAUUGGGGAAAAACAAAUGUGUAAGUAACUAUGCCCGUCUUGACGGUACCAAAGCAGAAAGCCCCGCCUAACUACGU